rnacentral:lncRNA from 1 species
AUGUCAUAAUCUUUUACCUCAUAUGUAUGUGUUUGUUUCUUUAUUUUCUGGUUAUUAUUUGGGGUUUGUGAAGGGGCUUCUGUAUAUUCGCGUUGGUCAAACUACUGUAAAUAAAGUGAUGAUUUACAGUAUUCUUCAUUAUUGCUGAUGGCAAGCAUAUCGAACAGUUUUCUGCAUAGUAUUUAAGUUUUAAGAUAAACGUGGCUAAAUUAAAUCUCAUCAAACUCACCAGAGUUAUUUUUUUUUACUUUAUUUAUUUGAAUAAAUGUCCCGGUACUAAAUGCUAAAUUUCUUAAUCAGACAACAGACGAGCAUCAAACAAUAAGUUUAAGAUUUUCUAUUAAUAAUUACAGAGAUUUAAUGCAUUCUUUUCCUUCAUUUGUUCAGAGACAGAAAGUAAGGACAGUUUUCAGGAAUCUGUUCUUAUGCAAGAAUAAUAAUUGUGUUAAUUGCCAAAUCACGUGUUUCAUCUUUCACUGAUUUAAAAAUGAACCUCCUUUAUUUUAGGUGCAACUGGAAAUUUAUAAUAUUUUGUUUCGUAUGAUUUUAACUUGUUGGAACUCGCCAGAUUAAUUCCAGUCUCAUUCACUGCCACUUCCCUCGUCUCUGUUUUUGACGUCACUUCCGCUUCCGCGGCAGGAAGCAUGGCGGCCUUCAGUUCGCGUUCUGUCGAAGCUCUUUUACAGACACUUCGUCUCGGCUGCUGGGGUCAGAGGUCACGACCACAAGUGUGUGUGUGUGUGUGUCCAGCGUUUCAUCACCUGACAGAAGAUGUGACCACUGUUUUUCAGUCACACGAUACAUUUUAUAUAAAGUUUAAUAGAAAUAUUUGUGUAUCUUUUAAAUGCAGAAACGGCUCACAGCUGACUCUGACACACAGACACAGGCUCUGUCCACUGAAGCAUUCACAGAUUAAACCAAGAAACAGAUGCAUUGUGUUUUUAUAUUUAGUUUCUUUAACAGUAUAAAAGAAGACGACUCCAGUGCAGCUUCUUUCAGCUCAGAUCCUCACCAACAUCCAGCGAAGCAGCAUUUAAUCACCCAUUUAUACAUUAAUACAUAUUUUAGUUUGAACGAUAAUAUAAACAAAACUAAACAUUUAUUUUAUAUAUUUAUCAUAUAUAUAUCUAUAUAUAUCUACACUGCUGUUCAAAAGUUUGGGAUUUAAAUGUGUUUUAAAGAAGACUCUUCUGCUCAUCAUGUCUGCAUUUAUUUGAUCAAAAAUACAGAAAUAAAACUGUAAUCUUGCACAAUGUUAUUAGAAUAUAAAAUAAUGUUUUCUGUGUGAAUCUCUGUUAAAGUGUAAUGUAUUUCUGUGAUGCGCAGCUGUAUUUUCAGCAUCAUUACUCCAGUCUUCAGUGUCACAUGAUCUUCAGAAAUCAUUCUAAUAUGAUGAUUUGCUGCUCAAGAAACAUUUCUUUUUUGAUCAUAUGCAGUGAUGAAU